GAAGCCUGAGCUAGGAAAUGCCAAGUCAGCAUGACUGGGCCUUAGCAGCCCCUCUCUUCCACCUUUUGGACCCUGCUUAUCUCGCUGCAGGCAGGCUCUCUUCUCCAAUGACAAGAGUAACAGACCUCCCAGCUCAUCUACCAAGCCUCUGUUCAGGCCAGGUGUCUCUGCAUGGACAAUUGCUGCCUUCCAGCCAUCCAGGAGGGCUCAGAAGGCCUUAGUCGUCUCCUAAAGUACAGUCGUCUCCUAAAGAAAGCACCAAGGCUGACAUUACUCAAGGAAUUAGUUUCUUCUAGCUUUUCUUCCUCAUCCCAGCUCAGGAGGAAGUGGAGUCAGUGAACCGUUAUAAGAACAUAUUGAAACCAGUAGAACAAUGGUUAGCACCUGGGCUUCAUGUCAAUCAAUCACUAACCAGGGGACCUUGGAUCAUGUCAGAGGGACACAGAGACCUGAUGAAGACAUUCCUGACUUCAUCCCUGGGACCACUAACCCAGUUCGAGACCACUGACCCAAUUCAAGAGAAGAAUUGCACAUGCAUGAAGGACUAAUAAACUCACUUUAAUACAGAUCGAGGAUGGGAGGUGCUGGGGUUAUGCAUAUGUAUUGUAUGUAAGAUCUCAGGAAAUAAAUAGAGGACAAAGAACCUUGGUGUGGUCAUGCCUUUUGGGGAUGACUCCCAUGCUUCCUGCUGGUAUUAAUAAACGUUUUAACUUAGACUAGUUAGAGAAUCUUUGUCCGUGAUCUUCGGCUUUAAUGACAACACAAGAAGGGAGAAUUAAAUUCUAAAGCGUAGCCAUGGAGGGAACAAAACUAGAAGCAAAUCCAAUGUCCACCACUGAGAAUUACGGAAAUAUCUAGGACAGGAUGGAAAGCUGAUAGUGGUUAAGAGGUCUGUGGUAGGAUAAUUAUCUUGGUUUGAAAGACACCUUAGCAGGUGUCUGCUAAGGAAGGCAGAAGCCUCCCUUGGAAUGGAGAAUGUAACCCCCCUCCCUUCAAAUUACUGUAAGUUUGAAAUUAAGGGGCUUGCAGGCAAAGAUAUGGGAAUAGGAAUAACAGUUCUUUACUAUAUGUAUAACAAG